AAUUGAGCGUUGAAAAGGAAAGUACAAAUUCGCCCCAUUUUACAGAGAGUAAGCAAUUGCUGAGAUGCUUACAUGGAGGGUUUGGAAUGCACCUUUGAGCUUUACAGGUGAAACUAGUAGCCUGUAGCGGGACACCGUUAACUGAGUUAUGAGUGAUAUAGUAGCUAUUAAUAGCUGCUAUAUAAUCAGAGUGGAACCACGAAGAAAUCGUCUCUGUU
rnacentral:ncRNA from 1 species